AGUGAACGCUGGCGGCAGGCCUAAUACAUGCAAGUCGAACGGCAGCACAGCAGAGCUUGCUCUGUGGGUGGCGAGUGGCGGACGGGGGAGGAAUACGUGGGAAUCUGCCCAGUCGUGGGGGAUAACGUAGGGAAACCUACGCUAAUACCGCAUGCGCCCUUUGGGGGAAAGCCGGGGAUUCUCGGACCUGGCCGGAUUGGAUGAGCCCACGUCGGAUUAGCUAGUUGGGGGGGUAACGGCCCACCAAGGCGACGAUCCGUAGCCGGUCGAAGGGGAUCAUCAGCCAAACUGGAACUGAGACACGGUCCAGACUCCUACGGGAGGCAGCAGUAGGGAAUAUUGGACAAUGGGCGCAAGCCUGAUCCAGCCAUGCCGCGUGAGUGAAGAAGGCCCUCGGGUUGUAAAGCUCUUUUGUUGGGGAAGAAAAGCCUUGGGUUAAUACCCUGAGGUUCUGACGGUACCCAAAGAAUAAGCACCGGCUAACUUCGUGCCAGCAGCCGCCGUAA
rnacentral:rRNA from 1 species